rnacentral:rRNA from 1 species
GACGAACGCUGGCGGCGUGCCUAAUACAUGCAAGUCGAACGCUGAAGGAGGAGCUUGCUUCUCUGGAUGAGUUGCGAACGGGUGAGUAACGCGUAGGUAACCUGCCUGGUAGCGGGGGAUAACUAUUGGAAACGAUAGCUAAUACCGCAUAAGAGUAGAUGUUGCAUGACAUUUGCUUAAAAGGUGCAAUUGCAUCACUACCAGAUGGACCUGCGUUGUAUUAGCUAGUUGGUGGGGUAACGGCUCACCAAGGGGACGAUACAUAGCCGACCUGAGAGGGUGAUCGGCCACACUGGGACUGGGACACGGCCCAGACCCCUACGGGAGGGAGCAGGAGGGAAUCUUCGGCAAUGGACGGAAGUCUGACCGAGCAACGACGCGUGAGUGAAGAAGGUUUUCGGAUCGUAAAGCUCUGUUGUAAGAGAAGAACGAGUGUGAGAGUGGAAAGUUCACACUGUGACGGUAUCUUACCAGAAAGGGACGGCUAACUACGUG